CGGCUGGGCGGGCGGGCAGGCGACGGCGGACGGGCUCGCGGCCUAUCUGGCGCGGUUCGGGCUGCGCUGACCGGC
rnacentral:tRNA from 1 species